UAAGAAAGAAGAGUGAGGACCAUAUAAAAAGAAAGAAAGAGAAAUUCCGAGAGAGUUUUCUUACCAUUGUGGUGCAUCAAGGAUAAAUGGCAAGAGGAGUUAAGUAUUGUAUUGCUCCAAAAACCAUCAUGAACCUUAUUAUGCUCAUUUCGGUUCUCUGCUUAUGCACCAAAUCAGUCGAAGUUGAAGCACAAGCUUCGCGUCUGCCUGCUGAAGAAGGUUUGGACUAUUUGUGAGCACGCAUAUUAAUCUUGAGGACCAUGAAUGACAAAAAAAAAAAUCAAACAAGAAGGACUCAAUCUGGUAGUUUUGUGAAGCUUAAGGACGCUUUGCAAUAUAAAGCCUUGAAGGGGUCCACGUUGUCAAAUUUCACGUACCAAAAAAAGAUUCGAAAAACUUUUCAUUGUGCCGACAAAAAAAAUCCUAAAAAGGGAAAUGAAAAACUUGUCGUAGUCAAAGAAAGCAAAAACACCUCCCUCGACAUCAAUAAUGUAAUCGAAUCGGCCAACUAGGUUCGAAGUCAGACAUAACAACAAACACACACCCGUCAAAAGUCAUUGGCUCAUAAGGCUAAGAGGGACCCUUCAUUAACAACAGAGAUUGAGACUGAGACUGAGAUUGAGCCAAGAAAGAAUAAGGAUAAUACAGAUAUCAGGGAUGGAUAUGGCAAGAUUUCAUUUUGAUGUUUCAAAAGCCACCAUGGACCUUGUCAUUUUGGUAGCCAUGUUGGUCCUCUGCUUCUGCAUAUCCACAGUCAAAGUUGAAGCACAAUCUCUUCUUCUUCUUCUUCUGAAUGUUUUUUCAAGUUGGUAUUGCUGAUACUCAAAAUCUAUGCACUAAAGCCUCAGUUUUUGUUUUUGUUUUGAAAAAAAUGAAGCCUGGGGUAUUUUUUUGAGUUGUGUUGAACAGCAGAGAACAGAGUGCUCAAUGUAAAACUUGGUCUUCUUGAUUGGGAAUUAGAACAUUUUAGGCUUUCUAGUGCUACUAUGUUAGAGCACUC